AGGGGGACCUUCGGGCCUCUUGCCAUCAGAUGUGCCCAGAUGGGAUUAGCUAGUAGGUGGGGUAACGGCUCACCUAGGCGACGAUCCCUAGCUGGUCUGAGAGGAUGACCAGCCACACUGGAACUGAGACACGGUCCAGACUCCUACGGGAGGCAGCAGUGGGGAAUAUUGCACAAUGGGCGCAAGCCUGAUGCAGCCAUGCCGCGUGUAUGAAGAAGGCCUUCGGGUUGUAAAGUACUUUCAGCGGGGAGGAAGGUGUUGUGGUUAAUAACCUCAGCAAUUGACGUUACCCGCAGAAGAAGCACCGGCUAACUCCGUGCCAGCAGCCGCGGUAAUACGGAGGGUGCAAGCGUUAAUCGGAAUUACUGGGCGUAAAGCGCACGCAGGCGGUCUGUCAAGUCGGAUGUGAAAUCCCCGGGCUCAACCUGGGAACUGCAUUCGAAACUGGCAGGCUAGAGUCUUGUAGAGGGGGGUAGAAUUCCAGGUGUAGCGGUGAAAUGCGUAGAGAUCUGGAGGAAUACCGGUGGCGAAGGCGGCCCCCUGGACAAAGACUGACGCUCAGGUGCGAAAGCGUGGGGAGCAAACAGGAUUAGAUACCCUGGUAGUCCACGCCGUAAACGAUGUCGACUUGGAGGUUGUGCCCUUGAGGCGUGGCUUCCGGAGCUAACGCGUUAAGUCGACCGCCUGGGGAGUACGGCCGCAAGGUUAAAACUCAAAUGAAUUGACGGGGGCCCGCACAAGCGGUGGAGCAUGUGAUUUAAUUCGAUGCAACGCGAAGAACCUUACCUACUCUUGACAUCCAGAGAACUUUCCAGAGAUGGAUUGGUGCCUUCGGGAACUCUGAGACAGGUGCUGCAUGGCUGUCGUCAGCUCGUGUUGUGAAAUGUUGGGUUAAGUCCCGCAACGAGCGCAACCCUUAUCCUUUGUUGCCAGCGGUCCGGCCGGGAACUCAAAGGAGACUGCCAGUGAUAAACUGGAGGAAGGUGGGGAU
rnacentral:rRNA from 1 species